rnacentral:rRNA from 1 species
GUGGGGAAUCUUCCGCAAUGGACGAAAGUCUGACGGAGCAACGCCACGUGAGUGAAGAAGGUUUUCGGAUCGUAAAGCUCUUUCGUUAGGUACGAACGUGCUCUUUGUGAAUAAUGAGGAGUAAUGACGGUACCUAAAUAAGAAGCCACGGCUAACUACGUGCCAGCAGCCGCGGUAAUACGUAGGUGGCAAGCGUUGUCCGGAAUUAUUGGGCGUAAAGCGCGCGCAGGCGGGAUAUCAAGUCUGUCUUAAAAGUGCGAGGCUCAACCUCGUGAGGGGACAGAAACUGGUAGUCUUGAGUGUAGGAGAGGAAAGUGGAAUUCCAAGUGUAGCGGUGAAAUGCGUAGAGAUUUGGAAGAACACCAGUGGCGAAGGCGACUUUCUGGACGAUGUCUGACGCUGAGGCGCGAAAGCUAGGGGAGCGAACGGGAUUAGAAACCCUUGUAGUCC